CCGGGUGUGUAAGCGCAGCGAUGCGUUGAGCUAACCCGUACUAAUGGAACGUGAGGAUGAACCUUACAACGCGGAAG
rnacentral:rRNA from 1 species